rnacentral:rRNA from 1 species
GUUGUUAGGGAAGAACAAGUACCGGAGUAACUGCCGGUACCUUGACGGUACCUAACCAGAAAGCCACGGCUAACUACGUGCCAGCAGCCGCGGUAAUACGUAGGUGGCAAGCGUUGUCCGGAAUUAUUGGGCGUAAAGCGCGCGCAGGCGGUCCUUUAAGUCUGAUGUGAAAGCCCCCGGCUCAACCGGGGAGGGUCAUUGGAAACUGGAGGACUUGAGUGCAGAAGAGGAAAGCGGAAUUCCACGUGUAGCGGUGAAAUGCGUAGAGAUGUGGAGGAACACCAGUGGCGAAGGCGGCUUUCUGGUCUGUAACUGACGCUGAGGCGCGAAAGCGUGGGGAGCAAACAGGAUUAGAUACCCUGGUAGUCCACGCCGUAAACGAUGAGUGCUAAGUGUUAGGGGGUUUCCGCCCCUUAGUGCUGCAGCUAA